rnacentral:lncRNA from 1 species
GAGAGAAACGAGCUGGCGGAGAGGAGCAGAAGGCAGGAGGGGAAAUCUGGCACAACGGCUGGGAGAGGAAACUUGAUGCUUCUGGGCCACCAUUUGCCAGGGCCUCGCUCGAGAUGAGACUGCAAAGAACAUAAAAUGAAUAGACAAUCCAACCAACCAAAGACCGGGGGCAGCAGCAGGCCAGCAAGACGGCAUCUUCUCCUUCCCAGCCUAGAAGCCCUGUGAAAUCGAGGAUCUUCCCCCUAAAACACAUACACACAAGAUAUGUGCAAUCAAGCUGCCACCGCUUGGUAAAAAGCUCAUGGUGCCUAACCAAAAAGGAUCAGGAACAGAUCCUUGAAUCAGCUGUCACUUCUAUAGAAUGGGAUUUUUUUUCCUUCCUCCUUAACCUGCGCUGGAAAUUGCCGUUGGCUUUAUACAUCUCUAUAGAGAGAGGCUAAAGAGUCUUGCGUGAGAAAGAAGCAAUUUACAAUGCAAAUAGAGGCCUGUGAAGGGACGGAUGCUGCUGCUCACUCGUAACAGCUUGCUGCACCUUAAUAGCUGGUUUUAUUUUCUGAUAUUAAUAGAUGAAUUGUUGGCUAACGCUGCCGGAGAUUACUUGCUGAAAGGAAAAAAAAAAGUUCGGAAUAAACUCUGAAGGCAACAGAUCUCGUUUGGAUGUUUUAGCCGCGCACACACACAAACAGAAACCAGGUCAUAUUUACAUAAAAGGAGGAAUCUUAAGCGCGGCAAGUAUCCUGGACGACCACUCUUCGGUACUGCCAGAAAGGAUCAGGACCUGGAGUCUGGCAAGAGGAAGACAGAGGCCUGUGUGGGAAGCGAGUUGUUAUCUUUGGUUAUCUAGCUGUAUGAGUGUAUUGGUCUUCAUAAAGCUA